UGAAGUGCCGAUUCCUUUGUGGUCCUGUCC
rnacentral:piRNA from 1 species